GUCUGCAUGGAGCCGGCCUUGAAAUACCACCCUUUAAUGUUUGAUGUUCUAACGUGGACCCGUAAUCCGGGUUGCGGACAGUGUCUGGUGGGUAGUUUGACUGGGGCGGUCUCCUCCUAAAGAGUAACGGAGGAGCACGAAGGUUGGCUAAUCCUGGUCGGACAUCAGGAGGUUAGUGCAAUGGCAUAAGCCAGCUUGACUGCGAGCGUGACGGCGCGAGCAGGUGCGAAAGCAGGUCAUAGUGAUCCGGUGGUUCUGAAUGGAAGGGCCAUCGCUCAACGGAUAAAAGGUACUCCGGGGAUAACAGGCUGAUACCGCCCAAGAGUUCAUAUCGACGGCGGUGUUUGGCACCUCGAUGUCGGCUCAUCACAUCCUGGGGCUGAAGUAGGUCCCAAGGGUAUGGCUGUUCGCCAUUUAAAGUGGUACGCGAGCUGGGUUUAGAACGUCGUGAGACAGUUCGGUCCCUAUCUGCCGUGGGCGCUGGAGAACUGAGGGGGGCUGCUCCUAGUACGAGAGGACCGGAGUGGACGCAUCACUGGUGUUCGGGUUGUCAUGCCAAUGGCACUGCCCGGUAGCUAAAUGCGGAAGAGAUAAGUGCUGAAAGCAUCUAAGCACGAAACUUGCCCCGA
rnacentral:rRNA from 3 species